GAUGAACGCUGGCGGCGUGCCUAAUACAUGCAAGUCGAGCGAACAGACGAGGAGCUUGCUCCUCUGACGUUAGCGGCGGACGGGUGAGUAACACGUGGAUAACCUACCUAUAAGACUGGGAUAACUUCGGGAAACCGGAGCUAAUACCGGAUAAUAUAUUGAACCGCAUGGUUCAAUAGUUAAAGACGGUUUUGCUGUCCCUUAUAGAUGGAUCCGCGCCGCAUUAGCUAGUUGGUAAGGUAACGGCUUACCAAGGCGACGAUGCGUAGCCGACCUGAGAGGGUGAUCGGCCACACUGGAACUGAGACACGGUCCAGACUCCUACGGGAGGCAGCAGUAGGGAAUCUUCCGCAAUGGGCGAAAGCCUGACGGAGCAACGCCGCGUGAGUGAUGAAGGUCUUCGGAUCGUAAAACUCUGUUAUUAGGGAAGAACAAAUGUGUAAGUAACUAUGCACGUCUUGACGGUACCUAAUCAGAAAGCCACGGCUAACUACGUG
rnacentral:rRNA from 1 species